rnacentral:rRNA from 1 species
AGUGAACGCUGGCGGUAGGCCUAACACAUGCAAGUCGAACGGCAGCACAGUAAGAGCUUGCUCUUACGGGUGGCGAGUGGCGGACGGGUGAGGAAUACAUCGGAAUCUACUUUUUCGUGGGGGAUAACGUAGGGAAACUUACGCUAAUACAGCAUACGACCUACGGGUGAAAGCAGGGGAUCUUUGGACCUUGCGCGAUUGAAUGAGCCGAUGUCGGAUUAGCUAGUUGGCGGGGUAAAGGCCCACCAAGGCGACGAUCCGUAGCAGGUCUGAGAGGAUGAUCAGCCACGCUGGAACUGCGCCGCGAUCCAAACUCCUGCGGGAGGCAGCAGUGGGGAAUAUUGGACAAUGGGCGCAAGCCUGAUCCAGCCAUACCGCGUGGGUGAAGAAGGCCUUCGGGUUGUAAAGCUCUUUUGUUGGGAAAGAAAAGCAGCAGGUUAAAACCCAGCUGUUCUGACGGUACCCAAAGAAUAAGCACCGGCUAACUUCGUG